rnacentral:rRNA from 1 species
GACGAACGCUGGCGGCGUGCCUAAUACAUGCAAGUAGAACGCUGAAGGAGGAGCUUGCUUCUCUGGAUGAGUUGCGAACGGGUGAGUAACGCGUAGGUAACCUGCCUGGUAGCGGGGGAUAACUAUUGGAAACGAUAGCUAAUACCGCAUAAGAGUAGAUGUUGCAUGACAUUUGCUUAAAAGGUGCAAUUGCAUCACUACCAGAUGGACCUGCGUUGUAUUAGCUAGUUGGUGGGGUAACGGCUCACCAAGGCGACGAUACAUAGCCGACCUGAGAGGGGGAUCGGCCACACUGGGACUGAGACACGGCCCAGACUCCUACGGGAGGCAGCAGUAGGGAAUCUUCGGCAAUGGACGGAAGGCUGACCGAGCAACGCCGCGUGAGUGAAGAAGGUUUUCGGAUCGUAAAGCUCUGUUGUAAGAGAAGAAAGAGUGUGAGAGUGGAAAGUUCACACUGUGACGGUAUCUUACCAGAAAGGGACGGCUAACUACGUG